rnacentral:rRNA from 1 species
AGUGAACGCUGGCGGUAGGCCUAACACAUGCAAGUCGAACGGCAGCACAGAGGAGCUUGCUCCUUGGGUGGCGAGUGGCGGAUGGGUGAGGAAUACAUCGGAAUCUACUCUGUCGUGGGGGAUAACGUAGGGAAACUUACGCUAAUACCGCAUACGACCUACGGGUGAAAGCAGGGGACCUUCGGGCCUUGCGCGAUUGAAUGAGCCGAUGUCGGAUUAGCUAGUUGGCGGGGUAAAGGCCCACCAAGGCGACGAUCCGUAGCUGGUCUGAGAGGAUGCUCAGCCACACUGGAACUGAGACACGGUCCAGACUCCUACGGGAGGCAGCAGUGGGGAAUAUUGGACAAUGGGCGCAAGCCUGAUCCAGCCAUACCGCGUGGGUGAAGAAGGCCUUCGGGUUGUAAAGCCCUUUUGUUGGGAAAGAAAUCCAUCUGGUUAAUACCCGGGUGGGAUGACGGUACCCAAAGAAUAAGCACCGGCUAACUUCGUGCCAGCCGCCGUAGUAC